GACGAACGCUGGCGGCGUGCUUAACACAUGCAAGUCGAACGAGAAUCUACUGAAAGAGUUUUCGGACAAUGGAAGUAGAGGAAAGUGGCGGACGGGUGAGUAACGCGUGAGGAACCUGCCUUGAAGAGGGGGACAACAGUUGGAAACGACUGCUAAUACCGCAUGAAGCAUAGGGGUCGCAUGAUUCUUAUGCCAAAGAUUUAUCGCUUCAAGAUGGCCUCGCGUCUGAUUAGCUGGUUGGCGGGGUAACGGCCCACCAAGGCGACGAUCAGUAGCCGGACUGAGAGGUUGAACGGCCACAUUGGGACUGAGAUACGGCCCAGACUCCUACGGGAGGCAGCAGUGGGGAAUAUUGGGCAAUGGGCGCAAGCCUGACCCAGCAACGCCGCGUGAAGGAAGAAGGCUUUCGGGUUGUAAACUUCUUUUAAGAGGGAAGAGCAGAAGACGGUACCUCUAGAAUAAGCCACGGCUAACUACGUGCCAGCAGCCGCGGUAAUACGUAGGUGGCAAGCGUUGUCCGGAUUUACUGGGUGUAAAGGGCGUGCAGCCGGGUCUGCAAGUCAGAUGUGAAAUCCAUGGGCUCAACCCAUGAACUGCAUUUGAAACUGUAGAUCUUGAGUGUCGGAGGGGCAAUCGGAAUUCCUAGUGUAGCGGUGAAAUGCGUAGAUAUUAGGAGGAACACCAGUGGCGAAGGCGGAUUGCUGGACGAUAACUGACGGUGAGGCGCGAAAGUGUGGGGAGCAAACAGGAUUAGAUACCCUGGUAGUCCACACUGUAAACGAU
rnacentral:rRNA from 1 species